AUUGAACGCUGGCGGCAUGCCUUACACAUGCAAGUCGAACGGUAACAGGUCUUCGGAUGCUGACGAGUGGCGAACGGGUGAGUAAUACAUCGGAACGUGCCUAGUAGUGGGGGAUAACUACUCGAAAGAGUGGCUAAUACCGCAUGAGAUCUACGGAUGAAAGCAGGGGAUCGCAGGACCUUGUGCUACUAGAGCGGCCGAUGGCAGAUUAGGUAGGUGGGGGGAUAAAAGCUUACCAAGCCGACGAUCUGUAGCUGGUCUGAGAGGACGAUCGGCCACACUGGGACUGAGACACGGCCCAGACUCCUACGGGAGGCAGCAGUGGGGAAUUUUGGACAAUGGGCGCAAGCCUGAUCCAGCAAUGCCGCGUGCAGGAUGAAGGCCUUCGGGUUGUAAACUGCUUUUGUACGGAACGAAAAGCCCCGGGUUAAUACCCUGGGGUCAUGACGGUACCGUAAGAAUAAGCACCGGCUAACUACGUGCCAGCAGCCGCAGUAA
rnacentral:rRNA from 1 species